CGCUUAUUUCUGGCAGUUCUUUUGACCCAGUACUUUGGUCCCUGUUUAAUCAUCUUUGAAGCCUUAGAUCCAGGCAAAAAUCUUUCAAUUAUGUUUCAUCUUCCCUUAUAUCAGUUGUGUUCAUCUCCUUGCUGAAAUUAUUUCUCAUUUUCGUCCCUCAAUUGAAAAACCAUAAGACUACUCACCACCAUCGUUUUCCCUUGCCAUGCCACCACUGAACCACCAACGCUGAUCUCUCCCUAUCCGUCUCUCUCUAAAAAAAGCCCUAAAUCCCUAUCUUUCUCUUUCUAGGUCGUUCCAGAUAAACAAGAUGCUUUCCCUCCUUCCGCAUUGGUAUCUACCUUGUCAAGACCGUUCAAACGAGAUGCCUUCGCUUAUCUCACACCCUUCUUAAUUUUGUAAUCCAUCUUUCUGCAAUCUGUCAUUGAAGCCGAGUAAUCGACACCGCCACCAGCCGAGUAAUUGACACCGCCAAAAGAAACGCACAUCAUCUGCUUACUCUCAACACCUCUUCAAUCUUCAGAUCUUUUAAAACCAAUUCUAUCGCCUUUUCUUGAAAAAAACCUAGACGCCUUAUUCUCCAUCGUUUGAAGAAAUGAUAUGCAACAAAGGCAGAAGAUAAAUCAAGAGAGACGGAGUUUGAGAGAGCAUUUGUCUCCACUAGCUAUCACUGAUCUAUUGGAUCCCUUGGUGGUGAACGAUUAACGAUGAACGCAAAAUCCAGUUUCUCAGGCCAGCCACUACCAUGUUUCUCUCUUCUUUUGAUUUUUGGAUCUUUUAUGCAGUCGUGGUGUUUCCUCCUUCAAGUGGUCUUGUAUCCUUAUAUCUCGGUGCUGAAAAUGAAACCAUAAUCUCUUUAACAUUGGACGACCUCUAGCAUAUGCACCGGUUCUCUCUCAUUAUUGACAUUGAUUUCGAUUUGCAAAGCUCUAACCUCAGAAAAUGGCGACUUUGAAUAUCUAACCUAGGUGUUCUGGUUCAUAAAGGUUGAAAACCUCUCUAUGAAUGUGAUGUUUCUCUCUCUCCGAUCAUCAUCCAUUCUAAUGGAAUUCGUUUGAAGGGGCAUUUUGAUUCUGUUGGAGUUGGGUCAUUUUAGAUUUGGGAAUCACACCAUCAUCUCCGUUUUCUACUCCAGGGUAAAAGGGAUCUGUUUGGAAAUACGGGUCCACAGCAAUUGUCUAGACCGCAUAAAAUACUCCUUUACAAGGGAAAUUCAAGGAGAUAUCAGCAGCAAGUCUCUUCAGACAGAAAAAGACAGAAAUGUUAGGCCUAAGUUGGAAUCUACAGAUCUUCCAGGAAGAUGUUAUUGUUUUGCAAAUCAACCCGAUGUUGGAUUAUGGAACAUUGCUCUGUUUGCUUCAACUCUUUCAUCUGCUCACUUAAUUAACGAAAAAGAAUCCGAUUACGCCCUCGAAAGUUGACUACACGAAUUUCUUUAGAUUACUUUCCAACAUCAAAGUUGAUUCCAGUACUCCAGAGGAGGAAUUGUUGAUUCCGCUCAAAGCUGCUUUGUUGGAUAUUGGAAAAGAGCGGAAAGAGGCCUGGAUUAGUUGGGUCAAAAUUUACAUAGAGGAGGUAAAAUCUGACUCUUUAAUAUUCAUUAACAAAUGUCAUUAAAUAAGUUAAAUAAUAAAUAAUGACAUGCUUUUGAUUUUUCCUACAAAUAGCAAUGUACUUUAUUACCUACUUUUUUUUGCUCGUAAUAGCAACCUACUUAUAUUAUUUUAUUCACAAUAGCAAUGUAUUUUAUUUUCAUAACAGGAAAUGGCCUAAUUACAGUUUUGGUCACUAUAGUUUUUAAUUUUAAUAGUUUACAGUUUUGGUCCAUGUAGUUUAUAGUUUACAUUAAUUACAGGUUUGGUCCCUGUAGUUUUUUAUUUAGGAUAAAUACCGAUUUGGUCCCUGUGGUUUUUAAUUUGAUCACAGUGUUGGUCCCUAUAGUUUUAAUUUGCUUUCGAUACAAUUUUGGUCCAUGUAGUUUUUAAUUUAGGAUGAUUACAGUUUUUGUCCCCGUAUUUUUAAUUUGCAUAAUUACAGUUUUAGUUCCUGUAGACUGUAGUUUUCUAAUUCCAGUUAUUACAUUUUUGGUUCCUGUAGUUUUUAAUUUCAAUAAUUACAUUUUUCGUCCCUUUAGGUUUUAAUUCCAAUAAUUAUAUUUUUGGUCCGUGUAGUUUUUAAUGUCAAUAGUUACAUUUUUGGUACCUGUAGUUUAGAAUUUUCAUCCAUUAAUUCUAAGGUUCAACUAAAAACUUUAAAGGAUCCCUCUCCCCCCCUCUCUCUCUCUCUCUCUACCAACCUAUAGCGUGUCACCAUUUGUUUCAUUCUACGUCGGUCACUACCUCCAUGAAAUUUCAUACAGGUAACAAAAUCCCCCUCUUUAACUUUGUGGAUUUUUUAUGUAGUCUCCACGUCUCUCUCUGGAAAUGUUUUCAGAUUCACCACUAUCUAAGUAUUUUGUGUGUUGAAUCGUUUUUAUCUUUGUUGCUACUUACCUUUGAUGGAUUUCAAAUACUCUCUAAUUUGCUAUUUUUCCCUGUUUUUAGGGAGGAGGAUGGCAUGAAAGAUGUUAAAAUUUGGGUUUUUGAUGUUUGUUUUUGUUAUAUUUGAAGGUAAAGUAGGAAGAGGAACAAAUGCACAUAAUAAAUAACCAGCUGCAUCUCGGUUACUUUCUACCUUAAAAUAUGCUGACAACUUCAUUUUUGUUUGUUUUCCAUGUAACCUUCUCAAAUUUCAAAAUCUAUUGUGUUUAUGGUUUGAUGAGAA